UAGGGAAUAUUGGUCAAUGGGCGCAAGCCUGAACCAGCCAUGCCGCGUGCAGGAAGAAUGCCCUCUGGGUUGUAAACUGCUUUUGACAGGGAAGAAAUCACUUAUGCGUAAGUGUCUGACGGUACCUGUAGAAUAAGCACCGGCUAACUCCGUGCCAGCAGCCGCGGUAAUACGGAGGGUGCAAGCGUUAUCCGGAUUUAUUGGGUUUAAAGGGUGCGUAGGCGGUAGAGUAAGUCAGUGGUGAAAGCCUGUUGCCUAACAACAGAACUGCCAUUGAUACUGCUUUGCUUGAGUAUAGAUGAGGUAGGCGGAAUUAAUAGUGUAGCGGUGAAAUGCUUAGAUAUUAUUAAGAACUCCGAUAGCGAAGGCAGCUUACUAAACUAUAACUGACGCUGAGGCACGAAAGUGUGGGGAUCAAACAGG
rnacentral:rRNA from 1 species